UAAGUAACGAAUAUUUAUUUUUAUACGUUUUAAAUAUUUCAACGAUUUAUGAAAUUAAAAUUAUUUUAGAACUUUUUGUUGAAAAGAAAUCGAAUUACAAAAACCGUUUGAAUUUGGAAAACAAUCCUAAUGGGUUUUGGAUUCAAACACUUAAACUCAAUCCUAGUUCUAGCCCAAAAUGAUAAAGCCCAAAUAACAAAAACUCAAAUUCUUUACUCCCUCCUCUUUCUAUUUCACGUGAAAACCCAAAACCCAAAACCCCUUCCCUUCUCCUUCACUUUCACGUGAACCAGGACCCUCAACCCUCAACCUCAUUGUUGCUUCCGCCACGCCGCCAAACCAGUCGUCGGAGACCACCGUUGUCCCUCACCGCAGCUUCAAACGCCGGUAACUCCUCCAUCUCUUGCUUCAUUGUUCUUGCUUCUCCUUCGUUCUUAUUCUUAUCCUCUUGGUUGUUUUUGUUGCUCUCUGCCGCCACCACCACUGCGCAACUGGUUGCGCCGCACCAUCACAGCCACCGUGCACUGUUGCUGCACCGCCCAACUCGCCAACCAACGUUUUCCAUCAUCCUCUUUCUUGUUUCUUCAUUUUCACGACAGCAGCCAAGCACGACUAAGUGCGACCACCGUAGUCACCACCACCAGGCUCCAGCCGCGUCGCCCGUUCCCCGCGACCACCGCCCUGUGCCGCGCCGCCUGUGCUCCGCCGGCCAGCCUCCUCUCUCCUCUUUAAUUCUUGGUGGAGAAUUCUCCGUAGGCGACUUUUGAAUUAUUAAAGUGGUCUUGCAGUUUGUUUACACAAGUCUCUAAGGAUCAAUAAGCAUUGUCCAUCUGCAGGUUUGAAGAUGUUGCAUCAUUGGGAUCGGGAAUAGAGAGCUUGUAUUUAGUUUUGAUUUACUAAGUUGACUUGGGUUUGCUUAAUUGGACUUUAAACUUGUCAUACUAUUUAUAUUUCCUUAUUUUCGUUGGUUGAUUUUUGGGACUAAACCUGUAAUCGAUUAUUUAUAAACCUAAAGUUAGUUUUAUGUUUUCCGCUGCAAAAUUCUGAAUAAGCCGUUACGUUUUCACACGGGCGAUAAUGCCUUGAUAAUUCUCCACGUUUAUAUUAAAAGGUUAUUUUAGAAAAUUGAGAAUUGUCGGGGUGUUACAAAGUGGUAUCUAGAAGCUAAGGUUUUACUUUAACAAUUUUUUUUAGGCGCCUAACUAUCUAGUUAUUUAAAAUGAAUUUCUUAAAAAUCGAGCUUCUACGC